rnacentral:misc_RNA from 1 species
UCCUCGUUGACCGAGGCAGUCUCGCGUGAAAAAUACAACACACGACAAGGGUUGCGCUCGUUGCGGGACUUAACCCAACAUCUCACGACACGAGCUGACGACGACCAUGCAGCACCUGUCUAGCACCCUCGAAGGACGCUCUAGUUUCCUAGAGCAAGCAGCUAGAUGUCAAGCCCUGGUAAGGUUCUUCGCUUAGCGUCGAAUUAAACCACACGCUCCACCGCUUGUGCGGGUCCCCGUCAAUUCCUUUGAGUUUUAAGCUUGCGCUCGUACUCCCCAGGCGGGGUGCUUAACGCGUUAGCUUCGACACCCAGGGGGUCUAAUCCCCGAAUGCCUAGCACCCAUCGUUUACGGCGUGGACUAC